GGAGAGGACAGCUUGCUCAGGAUCACACUGGUUGGUGAUGGCAGAGGCCAGGGGGAAACAGAAGCGUCCUAACUCAGUGCUGUCCUCUGUCCUAUGCCACACAUAACUCAAGAUGGAAAACCUGAAAGGAUCAUUUCUUGGAGGAGCACUGUUCCCUAAGACUAUUUGACCACGGAGCAUCUCGCAAGAUCCCUGGCCUGAGGAAUACACUACUUUAGAAAAUGCUGUGGCAUGCGAUGUGUGCGGAGAGAAGAGUGAGGGUGAAGGCAUUUGUACUGGCUCCUAGAUGCGGUGAUCCCCAACAUCUAUUCUAAGCGUACUAUCCUCAGAGAUGUCUCAGCAGUAAGCGUGAGAAGCACCCGUCCUCAGCCAGGGUGUCAGCUUGGGUUUGGUGACAGCAGCCUUGAAGGAGGUGUUGGAUGGCUGAAGCCCUCCAUUGUAGCAACUCUGGCAUCUUCCACAAGCCCAGCCUCGCCAAGUUGUCCUCCUGCCAAGCUGGAGAGCGGCUGGCUCCUGAGGGGGCCCUCUCUAAGCAGAGUCUCACUCCCUUGCCCUGGACUAUAGUGUAUUGGUGUCAUCAUAGCUCACUGCAACCUCAAACUCCUGGGCCCAAGUGAUCCUCCUGCCUCAG